AGAGUUUGAUCCUGGCUCAGGACGAACGCUGGCGGCGCGCCUAACACAUGCAAGUCGAACGAGAGAGAGGGAGCUUGCUUCCUCAAUCGAGUGGCGAACGGGUGAGUAACGCGUGAGGAACCUGCCUCAAAGAGGGGGACAACAGUUGGAAACGACUGCUAAUACCGCAUAAGCCCACAGCUCGGCAUCGAGCAGAGGGAAAAGGAGCAAUCCGCUUUGAGAUGGCCUCGCGUCCGAUUAGCUAGUUGGUGAGGUAAUGGCCCACCAAGGCAACGAUCGGUAGCCGGACUGAGAGGUUGAACGGCCACAUUGGGACUGAGACACGGCCCAGACUCCUACGGGAGGCAGCAGUGGGGAAUAUUGCACAAUGGGGGAAACCCUGAUGCAGCGACGCCGCGUGGAGGAAGAAGGUCUUCGGAUUGUAAACUCCUGUUGUUGAGGAAGAUAAUGACGGUACUCAACAAGGAAGUGACGGCUAACUACGUGCCAGCAGCCGCGGUAAAACGUAGGUCACAAGCGUUGUCCGGAAUUACUGGGUGUAAAGGGAGCGCAGGCGGGAAGACAAGUUGGAAGUGAAAUCUAUGGGCUCAACCCAUAAACUGCUUUCAAAACUGUUUUUCUUGAGUAGUGCAGAGGUAGGCGGAAUUCCCGGUGUAGCGGUGGAAUGCGUAGAUAUCGGGAGGAACACCAGUGGCGAAGGCGGCCUACUGGGCACCAACUGACGCUGAGGCUCGAAAGUGUGGGUAGCAAACAGGAUUAGAUACCCUGGUAGUCCACACCGUAAACGAUGAUUACUAGGUGUUGGAGGAUUGACCCCUUCAGUGCCGCAGUUAACACAAUAAGUAAUCCACCUGGGGAGUACGACCGCAAGGUUGAAACUCAAAGGAAUUGACGGGGGCCCGCAC
rnacentral:rRNA from 1 species